GCUGCCAAGAGACCAAACCAUCCCCUCUUCCCACUAUGCCCGAGUCCACUAGACACCAGUGAGUCCACAGGCUUCUCCACGUCAGGGGCUGCAAUUCACCAAGUACUCGUGGGUCACCUGUGGUCACAGCUGGGCAAUCACACCUUCUUCCAUUCUGGUCUUAAUUCCACAUCCACACACUCAAGUCACACAUCACACUUCACAAGGAUAUACAGAUAGGUCACAGAAAGACCGAGAAACAGUUAAGACAGCUGUGGGGUCACAGGAUGCUGAGCCCAGGGCACAGGCAGAGAGAGGACUGCAGAGUCGCAGGGCCACUGCAGGUGGUCAGAUGAGGGUGG
rnacentral:lncRNA from 1 species